rnacentral:misc_RNA from 1 species
GAUGAAGAACGUAGUGAAAUGCGAUAAGUAAUGUGAAUAGCAGAAUUCAGUGAAUCAUCGAAUCUUUGAACGCACAUUGCGCCCGCUAGUAUUCUGGCGGGCAUGCCUGUCCGAGCGUCAUUUCAACCCUCAAGCCCCCGGGCUUGGUGUUGGGGAUCGGCGAGCCUCCGCGCCCGCCGUCCCCUAAAUCUAGUGGCGGUCUCGCUGUAGCUUCCUCUGCGUAGUAGCACACCUCGCACUGGGAAACAGCGCGGCCACGCCGUUAAACCCCCAACUUCUGAACGUUUGACCUCGGAUCAGGUAGGAAUACCCGCUGAACUUAAGCAUAUCAAUAAGCGGAGGA